AUUGAACGCUGGCGGCAGGCCUAACACAUGCAAGUCGAGCGGGGUUUUCGGACCUAGCGGCGGACGGGUGAGUAAUGCGUAGGAAGCUACCCGACAGAGGGGGAUACCAGUUGGAAACGACUGUUAAUACCGCAUAAUGUCUACGGACCAAAGUGUGGGACCUUCGGGCCACAUGCUGUCGGAUGCGCCUACGUGGGAUUAGCUAGUUGGUGAGGUAAUGGCUCACCAAGGCGACGAUCCCUAGCUGGUUUGAGAGGAUGACCAGCCACACUGGGACUGAGACACGGCCCAGACUCCUACGGGAGGCAGCAGUGGGGAAUUUUGGACAAUGGGCGCAAGCCUGAUCCAGCAAUGCCGCGUGCAGGAUGAAGGCC
rnacentral:rRNA from 1 species